rnacentral:snoRNA from 1 species
UCGACUUUACUCUUCAGGAUCUGAUAGUUCAGUCAAUAUCCAUCUGUUGUUUCCCAACAACAUUUGGCACCAAUACAUGCGGUGGACGACGACGUGCAGGACCGGCUCUGAAAAGGGAAGCGCGCGGUCGCUCUUGUCUCUUUAACGGAAAAGGCGGCCGCGAUUGAUGAUCUUGCCCGCCCCGCUUAUUCCAGGGGUGCGGCGUGGAGCCUGGUUCAUUCUGACACCU